UACGGAGGGGGUUAGCGUUGUUCGGAAUUACUGGGCGUAAAGCGCACGUAGGCGGACCAUCAAGUUGGGGGUGAAAUCCCGGGGCUCAACCCCGGAACUGCCUUCAAAACUGGUGUUCUGGAGUUCGAGAGAGGUGAGUGGAAUUCCGAGUGUUGAGGUGAAAUUCGUAGAUAUUCGGAGGAACAUCAGUGGCGAAGGCGGCUCACUGGCUCGAUACUGACGCUGAGGUGCGAAAGUGUGGGGAGCAAACAGG
rnacentral:misc_RNA from 1 species